rnacentral:rRNA from 1 species
UACGUAGGGGGCAAGCGUUGUCCGGAAUCAUUGGGCGUAAAGCGCGUGUAGGCGGCUUGGUAAGUCUGGUGUGAAACCUCGGGGCUCAACCCCGAGCCUGCACUGGAUACUGCCUCGCUCGAGUCCGGGAGGGGAGAGCGGAAUUCCUGGUGUAGCGGUGAAAUGCGCAGAUAUCAGGAGGAACACCAAUGGCGAAGGCAGCACUCUGGGACGUGACUGACGCUGAGACGCGAAAGCGUGGGGAGCAAACAGG